CAUUUCUGUCCAGAAGGGCGUGCACGGGCGGCGACAGCUAGUGUAACUGUACGCGGAAUCCCUGGGGAGGGACUCUACCUCCCAGUGAAGGCUGCUCCAAUCAGCCUAAUGAAAUAGGAUCACAUCCCAAACUUUCUCAAAGCGACGAUUGGCCAGGCAGCUCUCAUUAAUCUAACUCCGUGCUUUUUCUUUGGGAGGGAGAGGGGGAAGGGAGGAACCGAGGAAAUCAGUACUGACUCGCCAGGGCCACCCAGGAUACAGGGUUGAGGGAAAACUAGGGGACUUUUCAGCUGGAUCGGUUCUCCUGAGAAAGGUGCUUUCUUUGAAUAACUUAGGGUGCGAGUGGGGGCACAGGAAGCCCGGGUACAGUCAAGACAGCAAGAUUCCUGGAGGCUACUUCCAAAAUGACAAGAUGAGGAGACAGGACAGAUCCGUGGACUAAACUGAGAACAGCAGACAUGACAUACGGAGUUUCCAGUUUCUGUGCCAGGGUGAAGGUCAGAAGAACAUUUCACAAGUGUCCCAAAGCUAAGGAAAGGCCACAUUCCUAAAGAUCACCAGAAAUCACCGCAAGAAAAUAUGCUGCUGCAGUUCAAAUGUGACAGCUGGCCAUGGGUCCAUCAGGCCCGGCGAGGACACGUGGAAGGAGCUCAAGGCAUUGAGACAGUGCACCACCUACAAGGCCCAGAGUCUAAGGGAAGUGUGUUUAGAAAUGGGAGCCAAAAAGCUGGGGCCAGACCCACCAGUAAAUGACUCCCUGGAA